rnacentral:rRNA from 1 species
ACUCCUACGGGAGGCAGCAGUGGGGAAUAUUGCGCAAUGGGCGAAAGCCUGACGCAGCGACGCCGCGUGAGGGAUGAAGGCCUUCGGGUUGUAAACCUCUUUCAGCAGGGAAGAAGCGCAAGUGACGGUACCUGCAGAAGAAGCACCGGCUAACUACGUGCCAGCAGCCGCGGUAAUACGUAGGGCGCAAGCGUUAUCCGGAA